UUUCCUGUAACUCAUAAAGAGAAAAAUAGGAAAGCAACAAUGCACUGGGGCAUUUUAUUAGGAAAUUGAGAGCCACAUUCACUAGUUCCUCAAGAUAGCUUUUCUUCUUCCCUCUGUGUUUUUGUUUUUCAGAAUUGCAUUGCUUUGGUACCAUCUCACUUCUGCAAAAGGCAAUUUUGUUAAAUGUAUCCCCAAAUGCACUGAUGAAGUUAUAACUGCUUGGCAAAGGCUUGGAGACAAAGAUACUGCUGUGAAAAAUGAGUCUUGUCAAAAGAAAACUGAUUUGUGAGUACAAAAUGUGGACAACAUGGUCAAUGUUGUACUAUCCAUUUGUCUCCCACUUUCAGGUAUAUCCACUAAUCUGAGGUAGUUUUUACAUAUCAGGAGCAUCAAUACACACCCUGUCCACCCUUCUUCACUGUCAAACAAUAUCAGAAUAGAGAUUUUUCCAUCUCUUAGCACUGUGGCUUUUGAUCAGUGUAACUGGAUAUCCUGGGGCUUUGUGGCUGGCACUCUGGGAUUUGGACACUUUGUUCCUCUUUGUGCAUCUGUACCUGUCUACAAAACGAGAGAAAAGCACAGUCUAGUCUUGAAAGAGAUAUUAUGAGGAGACACAUGUUAAAAGACUGUGAGUUUUAGGCUAAGCAGUCAAGGAUUUAGUAGAUGAAGUAUGGAUUUGCUACAGACUGUUUCUAAGAGAAGGCGUAUCUUGUUCCAGGCUAGUAGUUGUGUGGCAUUUUGGCACAUAAGUGGAAAGCUGUUGCACCCAGUGUCUGCUAGGAGAUCAUAUUAUUUCCUUCUCUCGACUCGUAAUGCAUUUACCCUGCCUUUGAUUUAUGUAGCCAGGAACAAGAAGUGAAGCACUUACACAGGGGAGAUAGGCAGCUGCUAAGACCUAGGGGGGAUGCUGUCUACCCUUGUUGCCACCAAUGGAAGCAUAAAGCGGUGACUUUGCAAG